rnacentral:lncRNA from 1 species
CCAUAUUUGAAAAAUUUUAGACAUAAGCAUACAACUUCAGAAAACAUAAACAUAUUUAUAUCAAACAAACCCAAACUCGUAUUUAACACGACAUCGCCAUCAUGUUCUUAGAACAAGAACAAAUAAACUGGAAAAUGUGGACUCGUAUUCACUUGUGUAAUAUGAUUUCUAGUUUUGGACCAGACAAAGCAUUCGAACAGAAUCGUAAAUGAAAAAUUAAAUAAAAAGAAAAUGGGAUCAAAACAAGGAAUGCCAGCAAGCCUCCAAGACAUGAACACAUGAUAAUGCGGCACCAAUCACCUCAUCCUAAAUUUCUG